AUUUAGUUCACAUAAUCAAUCUUUUUCCAACAUAUGUUUUGUUCAUGAAUGAUCAAUCAACUAAGCAUAGAUGUAAACAUGGAUUUUAACAAUUCUCACCAAGCAAGUGUUUCACUCAAUCACUCAAGUGUUUUAGGAGGUCACUCUACUCUCUACUGUUCAAAUGUCACAUAAAACAAUAUUGUCAUUCAUCUAAAACAAUCAAAAUCUUCACAUGCAAAUGUCAUCACAAGGACUUUUUCCAAGGCUUAUAAUGAGGCUGGGCUAACAAGAAAAUUUUGUUUUUCUGGAAUAUAAAAUCCUUGAGUUAAGCGAGUUUAAAUUAUCAUUCAAAGUUCAAGCAUACUCUCUUUAACCAAUCUCAUUCAUUCCCAACUUCUUCCCUUUUUCCUUUUUACAUUGAGUUCACUUUACAUGCUUUUUCUUUUCUUCUUUUCUUUUCUUUCUCAUGCAUUUUUCUUUUUCAGCUUUUGAACUCAAUUUUUUUCUUUUUCUUUUGCCUUUUACUUUCCCCAUACAACCCCAAACUUGAACCUUUUCAACACAUACAAUUAUUCUCAACCCAAAUCAAGGUAAAUCAAUUC
rnacentral:lncRNA from 1 species